UUCACCAGUUUUAUAAAAACU
rnacentral:piRNA from 1 species